AUGUAUGUAUGUAUUACGAAGUUGUCUUGAAUUGUCCUAACAGACUGUUUAUCGCCAUUACGGGUGUUUUAUUCAGAUCACGAUUGAAAAUUUUUCGAGACAGAAGCUCAUGAACAGUAUGGACGCAACCAUGGAAUGAUUGCAAAUCUUCUAUUUCCUUUAUACCUUUACAAGACCAGUGCAUGGGGAAAAGUACAUGUAAAGUAGUUGUGGACUACAAUCCAUGCUCAUAGGAUCCUUUGUUGUAUGCUACUAUUUACUAUCAAUGUACAAAAUCUCCAUAUGGAAUUCGAACAGCUGAUCCCUAUCAACCUAUCAAAUUCCACGGCGGCACUCGUGUACCGACAACUACAUCUCCAACUACAUCUUCAACUACCUCUUCAACUACAUCUAUUCCUGAUUUAUCAACAACUUAUAAGGACCAUAAAAACGACGAUGAUGACAACGACGACAAUAAGCAUCAAAUCCACAACGACAAUUAAAGCAACAAUCCAUUAAAAAUUGGACUAAGAACAGCUAUAGGCAUCGCAUCGAUCAUAGAGAUUACUGCUCUGAUUUGCAUUCUAAAGUAUAGACUGAACAAACUUGAACAAAGACCAAACCUGAUGUCUCAUAGAAACCGUCUGUCGUAUGAUCAAGAUCACAUGUUUCAAAACCCAAGUAUAUACCAGAUUUCAGUUUCAAAUCCAGGAUACAGCAACCCAAUGGGAUACAGACUAGAUACAUCUAACGAGAGCGAUUAUGAUUUGACUUCAUAUGAAGAAACCGUCGGAAACACAUACGAACAAGUGAACUAUAGGGCACCAAAAGUAUCAAAUGUGAAAAAGUGACUGUAUUGAUGUAUAAAGAAGCAAACAUUUCGUUGACUAACUGACUAAACUUCAUAAAUUGUAUUGUGUUGUGCAUUUAAAACAUAGUGGUUUAAACGAAUGUUAUUUGACAAUUAUACGAAUAAACGUUUACAAGACGUAUACGGGUAUUCGUUUAUCAGAAAUCUCAUACGCCU